GUCGUUUUUCUCUUUAAGCUUUUCCGCAGAUUCUGGGCCCAUAACCUGUUAAUGUAUUAGUUUUAUGGCAAAGAAAUGGACCAAGUUUGACAAAAAAGAACAAAGUUUUAUUGUUAGUCAGUCACCAUGUUUUUAUAACAACCGCCGAGAGAGAGAGGAAGCAAGACUGUGUUGCCACACAAUAAUAAAUAAAAAUAAAUAUUUUAACACUAUCAAAUCUCUAGCAAUAUGUGCUUUUGAAUUAUGUUCACAUUUUGAAGAAUUCAUUAUGUUCAUUAAAAGAAGAGUUAGUCUAUAUUAAUAAUACUUUUAAAAAAC
rnacentral:lncRNA from 1 species